rnacentral:tRNA from 1 species
GGCGGCGUAGCUCAGUUGGUCAGAGCACGCGGCUCAUACCCGCGGCGUCGGGAGUUCGAGUCUCCCCGCCGCCACCA